ACUGUUUACUAUGAAAUUACUGUUGAUAAUGAUAUUACUGUUAACUAUGAAAUUACUGUUAACUAUAAACCAUCCUGUAAACUAUAAACUUACUGUUAACUAUAAAUCUAUUGUUAAAUAUAAACCAUCCUGUAAAAGAGGGACGAAAGAUACCAAAGGGACAGUCAAACUCAUAAAUCUAAAACAAACUGACAACGCCAUGGCUAAAAAUGAAAAAGACAAACAGACAAACAAUAGCACACAUGACACAACAUAGAAAACUAAAGAAUAAACAACACGAAC
rnacentral:lncRNA from 1 species